UGCUUCGAUCGCUUUCUGCAGUUGAACCAAGUAAAGCUGUUGAACUCGAAAAAAGAUCAAUUCAGCUCUCACUGGAGGAAGCAAAAGAGUUGCAGCGUGCUGCCGUCUUAAAUGUCCUGGGAAAAUUAUGAAGAUGGCUAAAGCACAACCCUGCAAUCAACCGGACCAAUCAUACAAAAAAAGGCGAUCUUCAGGUAUGAGUGUUGUAAGUUGUAAUAGAAAGCCGUCGAACAAAAGUGCAGACUUGUUCAGAUUUUCCUUCCUCCCUAGUUUCUCUGCAUUCGGAGGCUAUUGCGAUAACUUAGUGUAGUUUUUAAACUCGAUAUUCCAUGUAUUUUCCUAGACAAAAGCUUAAGGAUCGUAUCGACUUCGAAACUGUAUUGUCACAUAUGCUGAAAUGAUCCUUUGAGUUGCUGCUGCU